rnacentral:lncRNA from 1 species
GUUGGAUCCACGCGGCGGCCGCAGGAAGGGCUCGGAGGGAGGGGCGCCCCGGGCCGGGCGGGUGGGCGCCGGUGACCCUCCCUGAUCCUGGGAUCUCCCUGCCCUAGGGAGGGGGUCUAACAGAUCUGGCUUUCUCCACCCCACGAUCUCGUAGAGCAAGCGGUCACAGUUCAGGGGCAGGCUCUGGAGGAAGCAGAAAAGCUCGGGCGGUGUGGGGUGUGGACCGCAGACCUUGGACGCGCUUAGCAGGAGGGGUGGCGAGCUCCGGCCCACCCUCCGUCCCAACGGGUUCAGUGGGCUCGGAGAGCUCAGGCCCAGCUCCCCUGUCUACCGCGGCGGGGAGAGGUAGAGGACUGCGAAGUUGCAGUCCAUUCCCCGCUCGGUCAUGGCACCCACACCCUGCAGAGUGGCCUUCACCCGCGCUCACCCCAGAAACAGCUGUCAGAGAACCAGGACUAGCCCUGCAGUCUGGAGCAGGGUGACCCCAUCAGGAACCUACAGGCCUCUAGGAGUCCUCAACUCCCUAUCAGCAUGGAGUUUGCACUUGAUGCGGAAAGGCGUGUGAUGGACCCUCUCUGACCCCUGAGCUGUGACCCCAUGGCCAUAGGGCUCUGUGGCUCCAUGUCCCCCCUUCCAGGACCCCUCCCCUGGCCCCAGAACUGCUUGACCCCUGUGGCCUCAUGACCCCUGUCCUUCCUCGCCACCUUGCUGGACUCUGACCCCAGGGACUGUUUUUCCCAUCCCUCCUGUGCCUCUGGUCCUGGCUCCCGGUGGGGGGCUUGCGGGUCUGGACCUCCCCAGGAAGAUGUGGGGGAGGCUCUGGCCCCCUCCUCCUAGGCUUCUUCGCUGCAGCAGCCCCUGGGCCCUCCCUGCGGAGACCGUCCCCGCGAGCUGGACGCCACCCCACGGAUGACCAUCCCUACUACGAAG